rnacentral:rRNA from 1 species
GCACCCGUCGCUCCGGCGACGGGGAGGUUUUCAAAGAACACUUGUGUCGCCCGUGCUCGAACCAAUUUGGAAUCACGCUGUGCCUGGAUCCAAGCAACGUAUUCUCUGCAACGAGAAUUGUAAUUGAAAGGAAAACAACCCUGAACGG